GUGUCAGCAGCCGCGGUAAUACCGGCAGUCCGAGUGAUGGCCGAUCUUAUUGGGCCUAAAGCGUCCGUAGCUGGCCGCAAAGUCCAUCGGAAAAUCCACCCGCCCAACGGGUGGGCGUCCGGUGGAAACUGUGUGGCUUGGGACCGGAAGGCGCGACGGGUACGUCCGGGGUAGGAGUGAAAUCCUGUAAUCCUGGACGGACCGCCGAUGGUGAAAGCACGUCGCGAGGACGGAUCCGACAGUGAGGGACGAAAGCCAGGGUCUCGAACCGGAUUAGAAACCCCUGUAGUCC
rnacentral:rRNA from 1 species